AUGCUGCAGCUUUUUGGGGAGGCCUCGGGUCUGAAGAUUAAUUUUGCCAAAAGCUCCAUCACUUGCAUCAGUUGCGAGGAGGACUGAGCUAGGGUGAUUGCGGACUUCUUUGGGUGUCAGCAGGUUGGCUUUCCCAUAAGAUACCUGGGACUACCAUUGCCAAUCUACAGAUUAAAGAGACAAGACAUAAUCCCACUGAUCGACAGAUUCUCUAGCAAGAUGAAAGGAUGGAAGCCCAAACUUCUGACCCCUGUUGGAAGGCUAGCCUUGAUGAGUUUGGUGCUUAUGGCCUUACCGAUUCACUUUCUGACUGUCUUCGCGCCUCUGGUAUGGGCGCUCAAAAUCAUAGACAGGAGAUGCAGAGGCUUUGUGUGGAAAGCAGAGGUGGAUAUCAAUGGGGGGGGGCACUGCUUAGUCCCAUGGGCUCACGUGCGUAGACCUAAGGGAUGGGGGGGACUCGGCCUUCUCAACUUGAGGAAUUUUGGGACGGCCCUUAGAUGUAGCUGGAAGUGGCUCGGAUGGAAUCCAGGGAAUAGACCAUGGCAUCUUCUUCCUGAUCAACAGGACAAGGACUAUGAGGUCAUGUUUGAUGCUGCAAAUCGGGUGGUGCUGGGGAACGGCACAGUUGCAAGAUUCUGGACGGAUAAUUGGGCUACGGGUGGCAGGAGUAUAUCGGCCUUAGCCCCUGCACUAUUUUCCUAUGUUAGACUCCAAACUCUCAGUUAA
rnacentral:rRNA from 1 species